GCCAGUGUGGCCAAGUGGUCUAAGGCGCUGGUUUUAGGCACCAGUCCGAAGGGGCGUGGGUUCGAAUCCCACCGCUGUCA
rnacentral:tRNA from 1 species